GCGGCGCUAGCGGUUGCGAGCUGAAGAGAAAAGAGAAGGAAGAGGAGAAGGAGGAGGAAGAAGAAGGAGGAGGAUGACGAAAAAACGGAGGGGAGGGAGGAGGCAAAAGAAGAAAAGAAAAAAAAAAUGGUAUAAAUUUUAUCCAAAGAGUACAACUUUCGCUUAAAAAAUAUAACUCUUAUUUUAAAAAGUGUAAUUUUUAUCUCAAAGAGUGUAAUUUUUAUUUAAAAUAAUGUAAAAAUUUUGUAAAAUAGUGUGUAAUUUAUCUUCUUCUUUUUUCUUCUAUAAUUUUAUCUUUCCUGUAAGAAAAAAAUAUUUAUUUAUUUAUUUUAUUAUUCUUUUUUUUUUCUCUUUGAAAUUUUUUUUUUUUAUCAUGACCUCUCUUUU
rnacentral:lncRNA from 1 species